rnacentral:lncRNA from 1 species
CGGGGCGGCAAAACGUCCGCCCGGGCCCGAGGCGGGCGGAGGCAGCUGUGGUUACGUGCGGGGGGCCGGUGACGCAGUCGCGGGGCGCUGGGACGCGGCUUGCGGAGCCGGCCGGCGAGCGCAGGCCCCAGGCUCGGGCGCGGCGGCGGGACAGCACCUACCUUCCCGGCUUCGGGUCCGGGAGUGCGGGGCGCGGAGCCGCCGGAGCGCUGCCUCCCUCCUUCCUCCUCCCCUCGCCCCCGCCCCGCGGCGCGACACACAAUACUCGCCGGAAGCGGAAGCCGCGCCGAGGCUCGUGUCAGUGGAAGCUGGGGUGUCGGCGGGCGGCCGCGGCCGGGUCUAGUGGUGCCUGCGGAAGAAGGAGGAGGAGGGCUGGCGAUGAGAAGCAGCAGGGGGAAUCAAGGGCAAGAAGGGACCCAGAGGGGCAGGUGGCUGAGAUGCUGGCGUCCAGGUGACCCGAGGAAUCCUCUGGAGAUACAGGCCCGCGCAUGCGCGUGCUCGAGCGCUGAAGCCCAUUGCCCGCAGGGCGCUGGACUGGCGCCCCGGCCGGCGAGGCUGUCUAGUCCAGGCUCCAGGCCCCGGCUCUGGCCAGGCGCCGCCGCCUCCCGGUGCAGCUGAAAGUCGACGAAGAGGGCGGGGCGGGGGCGGCUUGUGGACUUCCACACUUUUCCUCUCUUCGGGCCAGUCUGGGGAGAGGGUGGCUAGCUGUGGCGGCGGCCAAUUACGUGGCGGACCUGCGGGGCUAAGCUGGCACGUCACUUCCGACUAGUGGAGUUUUUAGCCUUUUAACAUUCAAGGAUUAGAGCUCCCUCUUUGCCCACUAGCAGGGCAUUAGCUGGUGCUGAAGACAGUGGCUGCUUGGCGAGCCUGGAUCUCCAAGUGACCCCCUCAGCAACUCCUGAUGAACAGGACUGAAGCCAAUAUUAAAGCAAGUCAACCAAAGGUUCUCUGGUGUAGACAAGACAGCAAAAGGACAGACUACCUUGUGGAACCUAGCAUUGUUCUCCUUCUGCAGCACUAAGUAACAUUUGUUCUCCGUUAAGAUCUUUGCAAACCACACACAAGAAUUGCUGGUCAUCCUGCCAAUAGAUGCUGCUCACAGAACCAAAUUUCCUGUGCUGAAUUGUCACUCAUGGGCUUGAGAGUAGGAGACUGGAGACCAAGGUGGCUAGAAUCCAGUUGGGCCUGAUGUCUCCCUGUUGAAAGGGCUCCUUGUGGAAUGAAUAGCACAUGGCUCCUGUGGUGGAUCUGAUAGUGGCAUAGCACCAAGUGAUGCAGGCCUGCCAGGGGCCACAGACACAGAAGAUGCUCCCGGGGUCCCCCAUGUACUCCAGACACACUGCAGGCCACCUCUCCCAGCAGGUUGCCAGUCAUGGGCCCCAUCAUCAUGACUUCUGUCCAAGGUGUGCUCGGAAAUCUCUUCCUUAACUGUGACUUUCUGACAGGUGGAGGAUGUGGUCAGGAGUGGGAAAAGGAUUCGAGACGGGAAGAGGGAGGGGUUCAGGAUGAAGAGAGAUAAUCUGUGCCACAGAUGCUGGCCCUGCAGUUAGCUCCCACCUAGUCCGUGCACACACAUUCUAAUCCCCUCCCAUUCCUUUACAUGCUGCGGCCAGAGAGGCCUUUCUCAAAGUGGAAGUCUCAUCCUCACUUCUCUGGUUACAGUGCUGGGCCAUGGUAACUUACAAGGCUUAGCAGGAACUGUCUGCGCACUCCCCCUUCCUGCCCACUACCUUGUUUCCCUCCAGUUGCGAGAGAAAACAUUGAUUGAGCAUUAACUAUGUGCCAGGCUUGUCCUAAGUCCUUUGCAUGUAUUCACUCAAACAAUCCUCACAACAUUCCUAUCACAUCUCCCAUUUCACAGUGAGGGUUCUAAAGCACGUAGUGGGUGAGGAACUUGUCCAGGGUCACACAACUAAGUGGGGGUGGAGAAACAUCAAAUCUAGGUGGUCCAGGUGGUGGCCAGAACCCAUCAGCACCUCACUACAGCUGCCUCCAGUUUCUCGCUCUAGGAAAUACUCUUCCCUGUCAACUCCUGUUGUCCUCUGGGCUCAGUUGACAUGUCAUCUCCUUGAGGAGGACAUCCUGAGAUGCUCCCCGACUAGGGUGGGCACCCACUUCCACACUCCAAAUGCCUAUUUGACCUGUGUAUCGCUGCAUCCCCACUGCCUGGCAGAUAGCAGGCCCCUAAUAAAUAUGAUUUGAGCAAAUAAAUAUAGUUCUUCAAAAAAUAGGGAGGACUUCUUGCUUCAGGUAAUGGUAGGCUAGGACAUUUGGACCAACCCUCCUGCAGAAAAUAGCCAUUUAUUUUGAUGCAAUAUAUCUGGCUAUGACUAGAGAUUUCAAAUAUUUGGAGGGCUAUUAUGUGAAGAACUAAACUUACUCUUUGUGACAUAGAGGUCAGAAAUUGGUCGUUUCCAUAGAGUAUGAGAGAGACAGAAUUGUGCUCAUCAUAAGUAUCUUUUUUAAAAGUUAGACUUAAUAAAAUGGGCUGCCUUGGUAGGUGGUGAGUUCUCUGUCACGAAAGAGAUUCAGCCACUUGCUCUGAGAAAGCAUGGAGAAUAUCAACAUUGUAAGGGUCGACCACCUCAUCUCUGAGGCCCCCUCCUCACUUAGGUUGCCAUUGCAGGUGGAACACUGGGCUGAGUGUCAAAGAACCUGGGUUCCACAAGCUGUGCGACCAUGGCUGGUUGUUUUGGAUCUCAUUCCUAAUAUCUGUUAGUUAAGCUGACCCGUCAAUACUGACCCACUUCACAGAGUUAUGAAGGGAUUAAAUUAGGUAUUACAUGUAAAUCUGUUUUGUUUGCUUUUUGUUGUUCUUUUUUGUUUUGCUUUUUUCUUUGCAUUAUGAAAUCCCAAGUCAACUUUUUCCAUUCUUUUAUUUUUUUAAAAAUUGACAUCAUCAUUAUAACCACAAAAUAAUUUUUAAAAUGGAAAAAAAAAACUCACCUGCAACCCCACAAUCUAAUACAAUAAUCAUACUUUUUUCCCUUUAUUCUCCUUUAUUGUGACCAAGGAUGACUUUGGGCAUUGCUGUGAGGAACUAUUUCGUUUAACACCCUACUACCUGAACAUGAUGCGUACUCAGCCUUUCACCACCCCCCAAGUAGCUACACAUGAUGUGAUAAUAGUAUUGGUGGUGGUUUUAGAGAGUUGGAGAGAAAACUGAAGUUGGAUUUGGGUAAAAGAAAAAAGAGUGGGAAUUAUUUUUUCUCCAUUCUAAAGCCCAUAAAGCAAUGUUAAUUGUUCCCACCCCUCUGCUAUUCUGUCUCCUCAGGUACUGUGUGCAGAAAUGUGAUUGAGAUUCAAGUCAGGGCCUCUCUGCCCUUUUCCCUCCAGAAACAAAACCAAGAUAAUUUAUCCUGAACACGGUGAAAAAAGGAAGGGAGGGAGGAGAAAAAGUCCGGGUCUCACCUGGGAUUCUCUGUCUCCUGCAACAUGAAGGAUUUAGCCUGGGAGGAGGUGGUGAGAACUCUGGGAGAGAAAAAAGAAGGAAAGAAUAGUUUUACCCAUGCUGAAGUUAAUUUAAACCUUCACCUAGAGAAGCAAAAAAAAAAAACCCACACUUUCCCAUUUUGUGCCUCCCUUCCUAGAGUUUUAGCCAAAGGUUUAGCUAAGUAAUUGGUUUUACCAGCGCACUCACUCCUCCUAUCCCAAGUCUGUUUGACUCCCUCCCCAUCAUCCUCCUCACCUCUUUUCAGGCAGGGUGGGGAUAGCAGCAGGAGGAGAUUUUGGGAGCCUGGCAACUCCUGCAAGGACCGCAGGACAGCCCCUCUGUGGGGAUGCGUGGUGCCCCAUCUGCCGCCCUUCUGAAGAAUGCACUGCCUUCACUUUUUACUGUGUUAGAGUCCAUCCAGACUGUUCUAUCCAAAAAAGUUUCUUUUUCCCCCACAGGCAAUCAGGAAAUGAUUCCUUUCCCGACUGCUUCUGUCUAGUGCCUGGGAAUCUUGAGUCAAUCCCUCAGUAAGUCAGUGACUAGGGAAAUCCCUCUCUGAGCCUCCCAGUUCAUGUUGCUUAGGGAACCUGAUAUUUUCGUGAAACCUGCCUACACAUGGGCAGCCCAACAGCAGAACAAAUGGUGGUGACCAAAGUGAACAAAGAAGUAUAGUUGUGCCAGCUUCGUAGUUGCCCAUGUGGACAAGUCAGCAGGAUCAGGACACGAGGAAGAGUAAAUGUGAGACAGUCAAUGUGACUUCUGCGAUAAACAGAUUUUUAAACCCCGAAAUUUUGCAAAAUUUUGGUGAAACCUGAACUUUCUUCGUUGCAUAUACUGGCACUAUCUGUACCAUCAUACAACUGUCUCACAUUAAAGCUAUUUUUCUUGGGCACUGAUGAGUAAGGUUGGUAUAAGUUCCUCAGAUCAACAAAAACCCAUUUUCCUGUAAGUCUUACAUUUAGUAUUUAAGGAACUAAAACUUAAAUACAUUUUGUGAAAUGGUUGACACUUCACUGAUAAUGAUUUAUUGCUUGGAUUAAUAAAUUUUCCAAAAGUUGUCUUAUGUAGAAUAUGGUUUGCAACCAGCAGAACCAUUAAUCUAUACUGCAAUGAUAUGCACUAUGUAUAAUUGUUUAAAAGCCUCUACUUAAUGAUGUAAAAUGCUCUAUUUAAUUACACAUUUGGGUAAACUGUAUACUAACAUCUGAUGGCAUUUUUCCACUGUUUGUUGCUUUUUUCAAAUACUUUAUUGUACAAAGCUGUUCUUAAUAUUUUUCAAGUUUUUUUCUUUGAAUUUUGCUAAUGUUUUCCUUGAAUUAUGAGCACUGACAGAAUGUGCUUAGCACUUUUGGCUAUUCACACAGCUUUUGAGCAUGAUUUGCAUCCAAUAUUUACAUUGCUAGCAAUAAUAAGCCAUCUGUGAGUUUUGUCAAAAGUUAUUGGGGAUUUUUUAAAUUUUAGAAAUGCAAAUUAUUGUUUCUUUGAACUAACUCUUAUGCAGUUGCAAAGGCAUUUCCAGUUGUUAUAGUUUGUGUACAAUAUCAGGUGUUCCAGAUUAUGAUUCAUUAUUAAUAUCAUUGCUUCCUUGUUCCCUCUGAGGUCCAGAAGAUUCAUGUUUACAAUAUUUAGAAACAAUGUUAAAAAGGUAUCCAAAGUUUGUCACUUUAUUAUUAGUUUGUUCUUAAUAUUCUGUUUAAGUUUUUGAAUUCAUAGAUAUCAAAACGCUGCACAAUUAUGAUUUCCACAGGAAUAACAACACACUAACAAUAAGAACCAAAAACAGCAAAUAGGCUGCCUACAAGUUUUGACAAUAUUAGGAUAAUGAUAAUGACAGUUUUUCUAAAUCUCACAGUAAAGAAUGCAGCAACCCAGCAACACUGCUACCUGUGGCCUCAGGCUGCAGUGUCAGCUCUUCCCUGGGUCUCCAGCCUGCCAGUCUAACCUGAAAAUUAUGUACUUGCCAGCCCCCACAGUCACGUGAGUGAACUGGCCCAGGCUGGUCACCAGGGUCAGUUUCUCUGUGUGUCAUUAAUUCAUUCAGUCUUCAGCAGUCUCUUUGGAGCUGAGAUGUACCUACCAUCUGCCUUUUGGGUGCUUAGGGUGGAGAACCAGAAAAGUAUAACCUAGUGUGUAUCCUCAAAGAGCUAACAAUAUGGGGUGGUACCUAUAGGUCUGGAAACACUUUACUGACUCUGUGAGGCAUACCAGGAGACGUCAGAGAACAGUCCCUCCUCAAAUGCCAAAUGAGAUGCAGAAGAAAUAGUUUGCUCAAGUUCAUGGGCCAGAUAUCCCAGUGGUCAGGGAGUUUCAUGAAUGAGAUGGAACUUUGCAUGGAACCCGAGGGAUGUGUAUGAUUUGAGUAGAUGAAGAAUAUGAGACUUUCCAAGCAGCUAGAAGUUAGGGAGCAGCAAGAUGUGUGGUGGGAUUGAGCACAGUUGGUUCAGAGGAUAGACUGCAGUUUUAAUAAUUUGUAGUAAAUAUCUCCCAACUGUUUGGCACUAUUGGAGCAAGUUCUUGAAUGCCAAAUGAAGGCAUAAAUCAGUAAGAGGCAUAAUAAAAGGCUGAGCAGUGCUUGGCUUUUUACGAACUGAUCCUGAUAGGAGCAGCUGUUCAACAAAGUUGCCAGGUCACCGUUACAUAGUCCCUGCCUUCUAGGGGCUCACUGCCUACUGGGAGAGACAGUCUGAAAGUUGGUGGAGCAUGUAACUGUUGGAUGAGGAGUUUGAGCCUGUGGACUGUGGGACCCCCGAGGAGGGUGUGGCUACUCUAGGCAGAACAAUCCCACAGUUUAUUUAUAUUUAACCUUGAAAUUCAUUAGAGGAUUUUUCAGCAGAGGUUUGGUACUUGUUAAUGUUAAGGUUUGCAUUCUCUAGAACCUCAAGGAAAGCUGUACCGUGCAUAAUGUACCCUCUUAUGUUAAUGUUGUGUACUGUGAUCCUGUUUCAGGGACUUGCACUUAGGAAUCUGUUACAGUGAGCACAGAAGCAGACCUGUGGGCUCAUAGUCUUCACCCCCCACCCAUAUAUACAAGAUGAACAGAGUGGAGGUUAAACAACUUGACUAAACAACACAGUUCAUGGUAAAGCCCAAGACUGUACCUGCCCAUCCACUGCCUUUUCCAUGUAUCCUGGAACUGAGCAUAGACCUCUUCCCAGGCAGAGCUGACAGCAAGUAAAGGAGAUCAUAAUCAGGGGACCAAACAACUUUGUCUAAAGUGUGAAUGUCACCUAAGGAGAAGCUGUGAGAUCAGAAGGGUGGGGCAGAGGAGCAGACACCAUGAGAGAGAGUCCUUGGGGGUACAUCUGCCAGACUGACACUGUCUGGCCUGGGCAGUGGAGGGGCUAGCAGGAACCACAGGUACUGGUGGUGUGGCUACUACCGUUACAACUGCCUGUGCUUGGACAUGGACCCUCUGCAAUAUGCGGCAGUUUCAUUCAUUGCCCCCUACAUUCUACACCAAGUAGAAAUGGAAGGCAAUUGGAUACUUCACAGACAAGAUCUAAGUGGAGAAGGAAUGCGUCCUGUGGCUGCAGAGAUCCUUGGAGCUUGGAGGGGAGAGCUUGAGCCCCACUGAUGAUGACCUCCCACAGCUCGCCAACUCAGCCCUCCCUAAGUCCCCAUCGGGGGCCAAUUCUCACUCUGGGGUUGGGGGGACUCCACCAUAGCUCAUCCAUCAUAGGGAUGUUGGUAUCUACUGUGGGUUGGGUAGGGCCGAUGUGCUGAGGAUGGCUCCCCCACAAGCAAGAGAUGUGGAUUUGGGGAGCUUCCCAUCUUGUGUUGAAGGAACAUAACUCAGAAUAAUAAGAGCCAACUAUAACAAACCCACAGCCAACAUCAUACUGAAUGGGCAAAAGCUGCAGGCAUUCCCCUUGAAAAGUGGCACAGGAUAAGGAAGCCCUUUCUCACCACUCCUAUUCAAUAUAGUGUUGAAAGUCCUGAUCACAGCAGUCAGGCAACAGAAAUAAUAAAGGGCAUCCAAAUAGGAAGAGAGGAAGUCAAACUAUCCUUGUUUGCAGACAGUAUGAUUCUAUAUCUAGAAAACCCCAUAGCCUCAGCCCAAAAGGUCCUUCAUCUGAUAAUUUCAGCAAAGUUUCAGGAGACAAAAUCAGUGUACAAAAAUCACUAACAUUCCUAUACACAGUCGCCAAGCCAAGAGCCAAAUCAGGAGCACAAUCCCAUUCAUAAUUGCCACAAAAAAGAAUAAAAUACCCAGGAAUGCAGCUAACCAAGGAAGUAAAGGAUCUCUACAAUGAGAAUCACAAACGCUGCUCAAAGAAAUCAGAGAUGACACAAACAAAUGGAAAAACUUUCCAUGCUCAUGGCUAGGAAGAAUCAAUAUCAUUAAAGUGGCCAUACUACCCAAAGCAAUUUAUAGAUUCAAUGCUAUUCCUAUCAAACUAUCAAUUACAUUUUUCACAGAACUAGAAAAAACUUAAAAUUCAUAUGGAACCAAAAAGCCUGAGUAGUCAAGGCAAUCCUAAACAAAAAGAACAAAGGUGGAGGCAUCACAUUACCUAACUUCAAACUACAGGGCUACCAUGACCAAAACAGCAUGGUACUGGUACAAAAGCAGACACACAGACCAGUGGGACAGAAUAGAGAGCCCAAAAAUAAGGCCACAAACCUACAGCCAUCUGAUCUUCAACAAAGUUGACAAAAACAAGCAAUGGGGAAAGGUCUCCCUAUUCAAUAAAUGGUGCUGGGAUAACUGGCUGGCCAUAUGCAGAAGAUCGUAACUGGACCCCUUUUACUAUGUACAAAAAUUAAGAUGGUUUAAAGAGUUAAAACCCAAAAUUAUAAAAAUCCUGAAGAUAACUUAGGCAAUACCAUUCUGGACAUAGGAACUGGCAAAUAUUUCAUGAUGAAGACACCAAAAGCAAUUGUAACAAAAGCAAAAAUGGACAAAUUGGAUUUAAGAGCUUUUUCAUAGCAAAAUAAACAACAGGGCAGACAAUCUACCAAAUGACAGAAAAUUUUUGCAAACUAUGCAUCUGACAAGGGGCUAAUAUCUAGCAUCUAUAAGGAAUUUAAACACAGUUACAGG